rnacentral:rRNA from 1 species
UGGGGAAUUUUGCGCAAUGCCCUNUUAAAAGNGACGCAGCAACGCCGCGUGGAGGAUGAAGCCCCUUGGGGUGUAAACUCCUUUCGACCAAGACGAUAAUGACGGUACUGGUGGAAGAAGCACCGGCUAACUCUGUGCCAGCAGCCGCGGUAAUACAGAGGGUGCAAGCGUUGUUCGGAAUUAUUGGGCGUAAAGGGCGCGUAGGCGGCGCGGUAAGUCACCUGUGAAAUCUCCAGGCUCAACUUGGAGUCUGCAGGCGAAACUGCCGUGCUGGAGUAUGGGAGAGGUGCGUGGAAUUCCCGGUGUAGCGGUNUUUNUGCGUAGAUAUCGGGAGGAACACCUGUGGCGAAAGCGGCGCACUGGACCAUAACUGACGCUGAGGCGCGAAAGCUAGGGGAGCAAACAGGAUUAGAUACCCUGGUAGUCCUAGCCCUAAACGAUGAUUGCUUGGUGUAGCAGGUACCCAAUCCUGCUGUGCCGCAGCUAACGCGAUAGGCAAUCCGCCUGGGGAGUACGGUCGCAAGGCUG